rnacentral:rRNA from 1 species
AGAGUUUGAUCAUGGCUCAGAGCGAACGUUAGCGGCGGGCCUAACACAUGCAAGUCGAGCGAGAAAAGGGCUUCGGCCCUGAGUAAAGCGGCGGACGGGUGAGUAACACGUAGGUAAUCUUCCCUUGAGCGGGGGACAACGAGCCGAAAGGCUCGCUAAUACCGCGUACGUUCUUUGGGACUCCGGUCCUGAAGAGGAAAGCUAGGCCGCAAGGUCUGGCACUCGAGGAGGAGCCUGCGUCGCAUCAGCUAGUUGGUGGGGUAACGGCCUACCAAGGCGAAGACGCGUAGCUGGUCUGAGAGGAUGAUCAGCCACACUGGGACUGAGACACGGCCCAGACUCCUACGGGAGGCAGCAGUGGGGAAUAUUGGACAAUGGGCGCAAGCCUGAUCCAGCCACGCCGCGUGAGUGAUGAAGGCCUUCGGGUCGUAAAGCUCUGUGGGGAGGGACGAACCGCUGCACGUUCAUAGCGUGCAGCAUGACGGUACCUCCUUAGCAAGCACCGGCUAACUUCGUGCCAGCAGCCGCGGUA